rnacentral:rRNA from 1 species
AUGCUAUCACAGUCAAGAAUGCUUACCCGUUGCCAGUCAUUGAUGAGUUGCUGGAUGAAUUGGCCGGAUCCGAGUGGUUUUCAAAACUGGACCUCAGGGCAGGGUAUCAUCAAAUCCGCUUGGUGGAACAAGACGAGCACAAGACUGCCUUUAAGACACAUCAAGGGCAGUUCCAGUUCAGGGUCCUGCCUUAUGGAGUGA